AGGGGCGUAGUUCCAAUGGCAGAACAGCGGUCUCCAAAACCGACGGUUGGGGGUUCGAAUCCCUCCGCCCCUGCCA
rnacentral:tRNA from 2 species